AUGAAGGACAGAUUGAAGAGAGGAUCUGAAAACCAGAACAAGAUUUGAAGCAAUGUCAAGGUUCUUCUUAGAAGUCAGCUGUUCCAAUUGGUUGACUUGGUGAUUGCUGUUGUAUUGAAAGCUUGAGCCUGGAGGCCGCUACCCAGACAUUCACCUCAAGCUUGCAAACCCUUUUUCUCUUGUGUACUUGAAGGGUUCAGAAAAAAAAAGAUGCACAAUUACCUUGAGAAUGGAGUCAGGACAGGAAGAAAAAAAAACAGCAUCUAAUAUGAUGCUGGAUUGUGUUCUUAGGAACUGA
rnacentral:lncRNA from 12 species